GAGUAAUAUAUCGGAACGUGCCCGGUCGUGGGGGAUAACGUAGCGAAAGGCUACGCUAAUACCGCAUACGAUCUACGGAUGAAANCGGGGAUCGCAAGACCUCGCGCGAUUGGAGCGGCCGAUAUCAGAUUAGGUAGUUGGUGAGGUAAAGGCUCACCAAGCCGACGAUCUGUAGCUGGUCUGAGAGGACGACCAGCCACACUGGGACUGAGACACGGCCCAGACUCCUACGGGAGGCAGCAGUGGGGAAUUUUGGACAAUGGGCGCAAGCCUGAUCCAGCAAUGCCGCGUGCAGGAUGAAGGCCUUCGGGUUGUAACUGCUUUGUACGGAACGAAACGGUGAGCUCUAAUACAGUUUGCUAAUGACGGUACCGUAAGAAUAAGCACCGGCUAACUACGUG
rnacentral:rRNA from 1 species